rnacentral:lncRNA from 1 species
GUGACUAAAUACUGUCAAAUCACAUGCCUAGGGAAGAAUUUACUUUUGAUUAUUUUUCUUGUUUCUGGCAUCAAUUUAUAGGAGUUCACGAUUUUGAGACUCAAACCUUCAAGAAGAAAUUCUAAUUGCACUAACCCUGCCAAGUUGGGUAGGGAAAAUAAGAAUUUAGUAAAAAGAAGUUUAGCUGGGCCAGGCAUGGUGGUGCACACCUGUAAUUGCAGUGGCUCGGGAGGCUGAGGCAGGAGGAUCUUGAAUUCAAACCAGCCUUAACAAAAGUGAGAUGCUGUCUCUGAUAAAACACAAAAUAGGGCUGGGGAUAUGGCUCAGUGGUUGAGUACUCCUGAGUUCAAUUUCCAGUACCAAAAAAUAAAGAAGUUUAGCUGGGUGUGGUAGUACACACCCCUUUGGAGUAUUGGAACUCAGAGUCACUCAUAUUAUUAGGAUAGGAAUCCUAAUAAUACUAACUUUAGAAUUUAAAAUGUUUUGAAUAAUGUAUGUAAGGAAAUACCUAGUAGCCUGUUUUGAAAAUUAUUCUUUUUAUAAUCUUGCAUAUAAUAAAGGAAAUGUGAGCGUUCAGUACAAAACAUGCUUUUUCCACAGAAAACACUUUCUUUGAACUUGGUAACAGAUUUUUAGCAACCUACCAACUCCAGGCACUAGAAAGUACAGCCUUAGCUAUUAAACUGUCUUUGAAAUUUAUCCCUCAAUUGCCAAGAAGUGCUCAGAUACUCUUCAGCCAGCCUAAGGAUCCCUGAAAGCAGCAUCUUUUCUCUCUCUCUCUCUCUCUCUCUCUCUCUCUCUCUCUCUCUCUCUGUUUUUGUCUUAAAUGUAUCUUUUGAGAGUGUAAGUGUGGACUUUUCAUGAGUCUUCCCAUCCCCCAGACUAAACCAGAUCCCAAGUCUCUGUCAUAGGUUUUGUUUUGGAAAACUUGGUUGCAGAUGGAUGGCCUAGGAGCUUCAAAGAGAGCAUACAUGGUUCUAUAACUUUUGCUAGUAUAAUGACUGACAUG